rnacentral:rRNA from 1 species
GACGAACGCUGGCGGCGCGCCUAACACAUGCAAGUCGAACGAGCGAGAGAGAGCUUGCUUUCUCGAGCGAGUGGCGAACGGGUGAGUAACGCGUGUGGAACCUGCCUCAAAGAGGGGGACAACAGUUGGAAACGACUGCUAAUACCGCAUAAGCCCACGGCUCGGCAUCGAGCAGGGGGAAAAGGAGCAAUCCGCUUUGAGAUGGCCUCGCGUCCGAUUAGCUAGUUGGUGAGGUAACGGCCCACCAAGGCGACGAUCGGUAGCCGGACUGAGAGGUUGAACGGCCACAUUGGGACUGAGACACGGCCCAGACUCCUACGGGAGGCAGCAGUGGGGAAUAUUGCACAAUGGGGGAAACCCUGAUGCAGCGACGCCGCGUGGAGGAAGAAGGUCUUCGGAUUGUAAACUCCUGUUGUUGGGGAAGAUAAUGACGGUACCCAACAAGGAAGAGACGGCUAACUACGUG